rnacentral:rRNA from 1 species
UACGUAGGGUGCGAGCGUUGUCCGGAAUUACUGGGCGUAAAGAGCUCGUAGGCGGCCUGUUGCGUCGGUUGUGAAAGCCCGGGGCUUAACCCCGGGUCUGCAUUCGAUACGGGCUAGCUAGAGUGUGGUAGGGGAGAUCGGAAUUCCUGGUGUAGCGGUGAAAUGCGCAGAUAUCAGGAGGAACACCGGUGGCGAAGGCGGAUCUCUGGGCCAUUACUGACGCUGAGGAGCGAAAGCGUGGGGAGCAAACAGG